rnacentral:rRNA from 1 species
GUAGGUGGCAAGCGUUGUCCGGAAUUAUUGGGCGUAAAGCGCGCGCAGGCGGUUCUUUAAGUCUGAUGUGAAAGCCCACGGCUCAACCGUGGAAGGUCAUUGGAAACUGGAGAACUUGAGUACAGAAGAGGAAAGCGGAAUUCCACGUGUAGCGGUGAAAUGCGUAGAGAUGUGGAGGAACACCAGUGGCGAAGGCGGCUUUCUGGUCUGUAACUGACGCUGAGGCGCGAAAGCGUGGGGAGCAAACAGGAUUAGAUACCCUGGUAGUCCACGCCGUAAACGAUGAGUGCUAAGUGUUAGGGGGUUUCCGCCCCCCUUAGUGCUGCAGCUAACGCAUUAAGCACUCCGCCUGGGAGUACGGCCGCAAGGCUG